GGGUUAUUUGUAGCUCGAGUAAAAAUAUCCUACCAAAUCAGGAUAUAGACUGGGUUCCUUAUAUAUUUAAAAGAAUCUUAAUAUAUUUUUAUUAUACAAGACUUUCUAUCCUAUUACCGGUUACUGUAACUUUUUCGGAUACAAACUUAAAUAGUCGUUAUGAAUUUCUUGUAUAAAAAUAUCGUGUGCAAGGCGGUAUGUAUAGAGGCUUGACGUCGAACGAUUAUAUCUAAUUCAACUGGUGCAGUAUUUUGAUCACUAGUCAAACAAACGUUGAAAAUGAAUAAAAAUCUACUGAUGGUGCUGGGAGUUCUUUUCACUGUAUUGCUGUUUACCGGUUCAGUCGUGGAGGGUACUCAACCUCUUAACUAUAACUUUAACAGAUUCAGGACAGGCCGUGGUAAUAACUUCGGUGGCAAUCGACGAUAUCGCUACGGCUUCAAUCGAGGUUUUGGUGGAUUCAAUCGGGGUUUUGGUGGA